UUUUCAAAGGGGUCCCUUGACCUCUGACCUCAAGAUAUGUGAAUGAAAAUGGGUUCUAUUGUUGGGCUUGAGUUUGCUAUGUUAUGAUUUGAGCAUGUUUUUUAUGCUAAAUGCAGUACCUUUGUGUCAUGUUAUGUCCUGGGCAGUCUAGUAGUUUCCCUGUGUUUCCUCUGUUUCCCUGUCCUUUUGUCUCCUGUGUGUUUUACCCUGUUAGUCUGGUCUGUCUGUCGAGAAGGAGGUGUGGCCAUCUCCUCCUCCCUCUCCUGGGCGGUGGUUGCUGGAGCAGCUGACACAAUCAUCUAAUCAAGACACACUCUGCAGUAUAUCAACCCUGGUCUUCCUGCCACUCAUCGCCAGAUCGUUUUCGUCGCCACAGUGUGUGGUAUACCUACCUGCCGGCUGCCUCCGCUUCCUGCUGCUCCUACCUGCUCACUCUCCAACCUCGUUGCUUACUCUUGGAUCACAGUGGACUGGGAUCACCAUCUGGAGGAACCCUGCCCUGUCCACCUUUUUGGAAUUAUUAUUAUUAAUAAAUCCUUUCUUGUUACACCUUUAAA